UAAAGGGUAAACCCUUUAGUAUUAGGCCCGACCCUUUUGCCAUUGGGUAGCCCUACCCAAUAACCAUCCCUAAUCGUACCUCACCACCACCACUCGUCAGUCGUCACCUCUUUCUCUCUCCUCCCUCCGCCUUCAACAUAUCAAAAACCCUCAAAUCAUCGAAGUUCUCGGUUUCAUCAAUCAUGUCUUUGCUCUUUAAUUCGGUCGGUGGGACUAGUAAUGUCAUCCCCACAUAACAAAUUAACAAAGUGUAGAUAUGGGAUUCUUUUAUUCAACUUUUUUAAUUGAAUUAUUGGAACUUUGAUUGCAGCAUCAUAUUUGUCAUCCUUCGUCAUCGUCGUCUACUUUUUCUAGUACGGAGUAUUUGAAAAUUGAGAUCUAAAGCCCCUAAAGCUAGUAGCAGUUAUUGGGCUGUUGAUAGUAUUAUGUGUUGUUGAAAUCAACAAAUUGGAAAUCAUGCGAGUUAUAGAUCUGAAUUUUAGUUUUCUUUUGAGGUGAGUUAAGGGUUUAGGGUUAACGAAUUGUGUAUGAAUUCAAUUUGGGGUUUCUUAUUUUUUUCCUAUUGAGUCAGUAUGAUGUUUGUUAUUUAUUUGAGUAAUUAAUUGGGUUUUGAAAGUAAGCUGAUUUUUCUUUAAUACUCCGGUAACAAAUUUGUGGGUAUUGAAAUUAUAAUUUGAUUAGUCUUUAAUGCAACGGAAGCUGAUAAAAUGAUUUAUUCUUUAGCUUGUAUUAAAGUUCUUUCUUGUUUGAUGAUUGCAAUUUGUUGUUAGAAAUAGAGAAAACAUGUGUUAGAAAGCAAGCAAAUUUACAAAGUGAGAAAAUUUUACAGUGACUAAAGAAGCUGUUAAAAAGUGAGCAAAUUUGCUAACUAUUAAGCUGCUGCUGUACGUGCUGAAGGGUUUAAUAAUGUGAUUAUAUAAUGUGAAGAGGGUUGUGCUCAUUUCAUCCCGCUUUGCUAUACGAUACCGAGAUGAUGUGCAACAAGUGUCUCCAUUAAAUGAAUCACAUUGGAGUGAUCCUUGAUUAUUGCAAGCGCUACCAUGUAUGCUAACUCUUUCCAUAAAUGCUAAGGUGCUCAUGGAGAGUAUUUCAAACAGGUUAUCGGAAUUGUACACAUAAAUGACGUAGUUGCUGCUCACAUCAUGGCAAUGGAGGAUAGCAAAGCAUCCAGAAGGUUAAUUUGCUCGAGUGCAGUGGCUCAAUGGUCAGAUAUCGUGAAGAUGCUUAAGGAUAAGGAUCCUAUGUAUCCAUUUGAAAGCAAGCAAGUUCACAAUUGGAAGUAAUCUGACAGAAUUGGACAGAACUAUUGUAUUAUUUCCUUCAAGCUUUCAUAAUAAUUUUUAUAUAUCAUGGUUAUUUUAGGCCGGACAACAAGGAAGGAGAUGACAAUCCACAUAGCAUGGAUACUAGCAAGAUGAUGCAGCUAGGAUUAGCUGGUUUUAAAAGUAUCCCAGAUAUGUUGGAUGAUUGCAUCAGGAGCUUCCAAGAAAAAGGAUUUCUGUGAUACCUAUGACAUUUAUUUGAUAUGAAUGAAGGGUGAUGAAACACAUUUGAAUUAUCAUGAUAAA